AGUAGUUAGCUAAUAAAUAUUUUAAUUGAACAUUUCUACAUAUGAUAAUAUUACACUAAGACUGCUUAAAAAGGAAACACUAACUGCAUACCUUUCAGAAAACAAUUUUUGCUUUCUUUGAAAAAAGUAGUCACAAAUAAAAUUGAUUAGCAGAAGAACAUUAGAAUAUACUUAUACCAGAGUCUACAUUUGCAAUAUGAAAAAGAUAUAGAAAUUUUAGCAUGGAUACAACUCACCAUCACUUAGCAGGUUAUUAAUGAAAAGCAAUAAAAACUAAUUGGCAUCACUAAGUAACUAAUUUCUUAAAAUGAUGAUUUCUUUAAUCAGAGCUAUUUCUACUGAGCAGACAUCAAAGCUUUCCUUAUGAGAUGAGUUACUACAUUUUAAAACAUGUAAUAUUUAAAUGAAUUGGAAGCAUUCCAGAAUCUAAUCUAAAGAAGACCAUAUCUAUCUUUUAAAUCUCACCAGAUUAUAAGUUAUUAACCAUAAUGGAAAUAAUUUUCAUUUAUCA
rnacentral:lncRNA from 1 species